CCUACGGGAUGCAGCAGUGAGGAAUAUUGGUCAAUGGACGAGAGUCUGAACCAGCCAAGUAGCGUGAAGGAUGACUGCCCUAUGGGUUGUAAACUUCUUUUAAAUGGGAAUAAAACGUUCCAAGUGUGGGAUUUUGUAUGUACCAUAUGAAUAAGGAUCGGCUAACUCCGUGCCAGCAGCCGCGGUAAUACGGAGGAUCCGAGAGUUAUCCGGAUUUAUUGGGUUUAAAGGGAGCGUAGGUGGAUUGUUAAGUCAGUUGUGAAAGUUUGCGGCUCAACCGUAAAAUUGCAGUUGAAACUGGCAGUCUUGAGUACAGUAGAGGUGGGCGGAAUUCGUGGUGUAGAGGUGAAAUGCUUAGAUAUCACGAAGAACUCCGAUUGCGAAGGCAGUUCACUGGACUGCAACUGACACUGAGGCUCGAAAGUGUGGGUAUCAAACAGGAUUAGAUACCCUUGUAGUC
rnacentral:rRNA from 1 species